UGACCUCAAAUCAGGUAGGACUACCCGCUGAACUUAAGCAUAUCAAUAAGCGGAGGAAAAGAAACUAACAAGGAUUCCCCUAGUAACUGCGAGUGAAGCGGGAAUAGCUCAAAUUUUGAAUCUGGCGGUCUUUGGCCGUCCGAGUUGUAAUCUAGAGAAGUGUCUUCCGCGCUGGACCGUGUACAAGUCUCCUGA
rnacentral:rRNA from 1 species